rnacentral:precursor_RNA from 15 species
GAUUUUCGUCAAGAUUUUGGUUUUGUUUGUUGGCAUGAUUGAUUUAGCUCAUGUUGAAUUGGUUCAUGAGUUGAUCAAGUAGGCCGAGAAACGGAGCCACCUCCGAAUUUUGUGUUUU